rnacentral:rRNA from 1 species
CCUACGGGAGGCAGCAGUGAGGAAUAUUGGUCAAUGGUCGGAAGACUGAACCAGCCAAGCCGCGUGAGGGAUGACGGCACUCAGCAUUGUAAACCGCUUUUGUACGGGAACAAAUACCGGUACGUGUCUCCGGAUGAGUGUACCUUAAGAAUAAGCAUCGGCUAACUCCGUGCCAGCAGCCGCGGUAAUACGGAGGAUCCGAGCGUUAUCCGGAUUUAUUGGGUUUAAAGGGUGCGUAGGCGGUCUUGUAAGUUAGGGGUGAAAGGUCGGGGCUCAACCCCGACACUGCCUUUGAUACUGGGCGUCUAGAGUUGAAGUGCGGUAGGCGGAAUGCGCGGUGUAGCGGUGAAAUGCAUAGAUAUCACGCAGAACACCGAUUGCGAAGGCAGCAUGCCGGACUCAAACUGACGUUGAGGCACGAAAGCGUGGGUAUCGAACAGGAUUAGAUACCCUUGUAGUC